rnacentral:rRNA from 1 species
GAUGAACGCUGGCGGCGUGCUUAACACAUGCAAGUCGAACGGGAAUUAUUUUAUUGAAACUUCGGUCGAUUUAAUUUAAUUCUAGUGGCGGACGGGUGAGUAACGCGUGGGUAACCUGCCUUAUACAGGGGGAUAACAGUCAGAAAUGGCUGCUAAUACCGCAUAAGCGCACAGAGCUGCAUGGCUCAGUGUGAAAAACUCCGGUGGUAUAAGAUGGACCGGCGUUGGAUUAGCUGGUUGGUGGGGUAACGGCCCACCAAGGCGACGAUCCAUAGCCGGCCUGAGAGGGUGAACGGCAACAUUGGGACUGAGACACGGCCCAGACUCCUACGGGAGGCAGCAGUGGGGAAUAUUGCACAAUGGGGGAAACCCUGAUGCCGCGACGCCGCGUGAAGGAAGAAGUAUCUCGGUAUGUAAACUUCUAUCAGCAGGGAAGAUAGUGACGGUACCUGACUAAGAAGCCCCGGCUAACUACGU